CUUUUUCCUAAAACCCUAAACACGAUUCUAACUCAUUCCCAACUAAUUCCCUACCUUUUCUUGGUGAUUUAGACAUUCAGUUUGUUCUAAUCAAAUAUUUUCUGGGUUUUCUAUAUUGAAUCGUUCUUAAUCUGUUCCAAGAGACCCGUCGACUGCUCGUGCUUCGGAGUCUAUGCAGGGUUAGCUGUUUGCCAAGAUUCACGUGGAUAAGCAAGCAGUUUAUAAUUUGAAAGCUGGUUCACUCCGAUUCUUUUGAUUCUUUGGAGGUUUUUAUGUUAUUUAAACUAGUUACUGUUUUCGAACUCUUAGACCGCAGUAGAACUAGUUUAUUUAUUACAUUUGAUAUUAUAUUUUAGGAUU